AGCGAACGCUGGCGGCAGGCCUAACACAUGCAAGUCGAACGAAGUCUUCGGACUUAGUGGCGGACGGGUGAGUAACACGUGGGAACGUGCCUUUAGGUUCGGAAUAACUCAGGGAAACUUGUGCUAAUACCGAAUGUGCCCUUCGGGGGAAAGAUUUAUCGCCUUUAGAGCGGCCCGCGUCUGAUUAGCUAGUUGGUGAGGUAAAGGCUCACCAAGGCGGCGAUCAGUAACUGGUCUGAGAGGAUGAUCAGCCACAUUGGGACUGAGACACGGCCCAAACUCCUACGGGAGGCAGCAGUGGGGAAUCUUGCGCAAUGGGCGAAAGCCUGACGCAGCCAUGCCGCGUGAAUGAUGAAGGUCCUAGGAUUGUAAAAUUCUUUCACCGGGGACGAUAAUGACGGUACCCGGAGAAGAAGCCCCGGCUAACUUCGUGCCAGCCGCCGCAGUAA
rnacentral:rRNA from 1 species